GCGGGCGCUGAGCACUAGAGAGAGCGUCUUGUGGCUGCGGCCUGCCCCUCAGCCUCCUCCGCGCGGUUACCCCUGUACCCGCCGCCAUCCGUCCUGGCGCUCCGGAUGAGUCAAUGAGGGGCAGGGCCCGAGGAGUGGUCUUCCCAAGAACCCCUGGUGGCCUCCCAAGGCCGGUGCUGUGUACCUCCUCCCCGACAAAAGGGGAAACUGAGGCCCCGAGGGGAGUGGGAAGAGCCGGCUGGACGUCAGGCCCAGCCGCUGGUGCAGUGGUCCGUCCCCUCUGCCGGGGUGGGCCCCUCGGGUUUCGCGUGUCCUCGGGAAAGAGACUGGCGGGCCUCGUGGGCUGUGCGGCUAUCCUGGAGACAGAUGACAGCUCUCCCUUGGAUGGCUUUGCUGGUUCCGCACCAGCCAGCGCCCCCAUUUUUCCUGCAGCACCCUGAUCUGCACUCCCUGAGGGGCUCCCACUGUCCGCGGUGUGAGGAUGUCCCUGGAAAUUGGUCUUCUGUGACUUUCUUGAUGGGGGCAGAUGAGAUCUUUGUACUGCAUUAAGUGGAUAGCGCUCAGGUCCUUUGGGCUUGGCGCUUUGGCAAUCUCCAGGCAGCUCACUUUGGCCUCUGUUCCUGGAUCCCCUUUGCUCUUUUCUGCGCCUGCAUUCAUAGUCCACUGUGUGCAGAGGCAUGGGAGUUGUCAUGUUGGGAACAUGCUAGACCUCAGUAUCCUUGAGCUUGAAGAAAGACGACAGAACACUGGAGACCAAGUACUUACAGCCUUCUGCUCUGUGGCCCCUCCUCACUCCAGGGAUGCUGCCUUGGGUCUGGAAACUGUUAGAGGAAACCCCAAGAGGUGCAGGCACUGAGCCUCUCAGGACAAUGACCUGGGGUCCCAGCUCCCCUGGAGGGGCCUCCUCAUGAUUGUUUGGGGGUUGAUCACAGACCAAGAGUGACGAGUGAUGUCACCCUGUGACUCAUGGCUGGACCUUCUUGCCCCUAUUGUCUCAGCACAACAUUAUUCGACUUUUCCCUCAGCGUGGGUGGGCAGAGGAAAAGCCCUGUGGCUCUGGGGACUUGGGAUCCAGAGUUGAAGACCCUUCAGCUGGCUCUGCCCUGCCAGUGCCACAGAGUGCCAUGGCCCAGGAAGACAGGUUUUCUUCCAUCUAGGCCAGGCCAUCCAGUGGCCAUCCUCCGUGUCCUCCCGCCUCCUCCUGGUGUGACUUCUGAAAACCAAGAAUUUGUUCCUGUUGACUUUUUCUGUGCUAUGGACCAUUGUCCUCUCACCCACUCAAUAAAUCUUGAAACAUGC
rnacentral:lncRNA from 1 species